CCUUUGACGUUAGCGGCGGACGGGUGAGUAACACGUGGGUAACCUACCUAUAAGACUGGGAUAACUUCGGGAAACUGGAGCUAAUACCGGAUAAUAUUUCGAACCGCAUGGUUCGAUAGUGAAAGGUGGUUUUGCUAUCACUUAUAGAUGGACCCGCGCCGUAUUAGCUAGUUGGUAAGGUAACGGCUUACCAAGGCGACAAUACGUAGCCGACCUGAGAGGGUGAUCGGCCACACUGGAACUGAGACACGGUCCAGACUCCUACGGGAGGCAGCAGCC
rnacentral:rRNA from 1 species